rnacentral:rRNA from 1 species
UGGGGAAUAUUGCACAAUGGGCGAAAGCCUGAUGCAGCAACGCCGCGUGAGUGAUGAAGGCCUUCGGGUUGUAAAGCUCUGUCUUCUGGGACGAUAAUGACGGUACCAGAGGAGGAAGCCACGGCUAACUACGUGCCAGCAGCCGCGGUAAUACGUAGGUGGCAAGCGUUGUCCGGAUUUACUGGGCGUAAAGGAUGCGUAGGCGGAUACUUAAGUCAGAUGUGAAAAUCCCGGGCUUAACUUGGGAACUGCAUUUGAAACUGGGUAUCUAGAGUGCGGGAGAGGAAAGUGGAAUUCCUAGUGUAGCGGUGAAAUGCGUAGAGAUUAGGAAGAACACCAGUGGCGAAGGCGACUUUCUGGACCGUAACUGACGCUGAGGCAUGAAAACGUGGGGAGCAAACA